AGCCCGAAAAACUUUCCAUUAUCCUCGAAUGAUCAAACACCGAGGGAAAGCAACGGUGAAUGAAAGAUAAACAUGGCAGUGAAAGGAUUUUCUUGCAAUCUGAAUGCAAGUAUAACUGAAACCCAUCAUCUUCUUCUUCGCCAGAAUUUACCCGUAGUCGCCAGGCAGCCAUUUCCCAAUCAUUCUUUUGCUUCAUAUCCGAUUCUAAACAACAACCACGACAAAAAGAAGACACCGAUUCUUCGAAUCCGAGCAGCUGAAGAAAGCAAUUCGACUGUUAGUGUUUCUAGCACAAGCGACGUUAAAGGUUCAGGGACGACAGCCAGAGGGAGGAGACUUCUCAAGAUACGUGAGGAGAAGAGAAAGCGAGAAUUCGACAGGCUUCACAAUUACCCGUCAUGGGCCAAAGUCCUAGAAGACGCCUGCAAAGAAGACGAAGAGCUACGAGCGGUUCUCGGCGAUAGCAUUGGUGACCCUGAGCAAAUGAGGAAACGAAUUGAAGAGCGUGUUCGUAAAAAGGGCAGAGAUUUUAACAAGAAAAAGACUGGCUCUGUGCUUUCUUUUAAAGUCAGCUUCAGAGAUUUUAAUCCGCUUGAUUCCUACAUAUGGUUCGAGUUAUAUGGAUCACCUUCUGAUCGAGAAGUCAAUCUCAUUGGAAGUGUUAUUCAGUCCUGGUAUGUCAUGGGACGCUUGGGAGCCUUUAAUUCGUCUAAUUUGCAGUUGGCAACUGCUUCAAUGGAGUAUGAUCCCAUCUAUGAUGCAGAUAAGGGUUUUAAUGUGAUGCCAUCAUCUUUUCAUGAUAUUGGUGAUGUUGAGUUUCAGGACAACUGGGGCCGUGUUUGGGUAGAUCUCGGUACUUCGGAUUUUUUCCCCAUCGAUGUGCUUCUCAACUGCAUGACAGUAUUAAGUGCAAAUUAUUUGGGCAUUCAACAGAUUGUUUUUGGUGGUCGCCGGAUGGGCGAUUGGGAAGAAGGUAUGAAAAACCCUGACUACGGCUACAAGUACUUCAAAAUCUGAACCAAACGUCCAUCCAGAUGCAACUGCAAUCUGGAAGAAAUACAUGAUCUCGUUUGAAUCACCUUUUCUAGAAGGGGAACUCGAUCGUAAGGACUAGCCAUCUCAUUGUACUGGUAGUACAAGUAGCCACAUUGAUCAAUUGUUUUAGUAAAUGUUGUAGAAUCAUCGUCCCAAGUGGUCUCCGAACUCGAACAUGAGCCAUUGCUUGAUGAAAAAGAAGAGUUGCAAAUUUCGUCACUGCUGCCAUGAUCAUUACUGCAAGAGCCGUUUUCAGGUUUCUCCAUGCUUCCCAAUGGACUACAGUUAGCCAAAAAUGACAAGAAUCCAAGUUAGAGAAGGGGAAAAAACAGAAA